ACGAACGCUGGCGGCAGGCCUAACACAUGCAAGUCGAGCGGACCUUUCGGGGUCAGCGGCGGACGGGUGAGUAACGCGUGGGAAUAUGCCCUUCUCUACCGAAUAGUCCUGGGAAACUGGGGGUAAUACCGUAUACGCCCUUUGGGGGAAAGAUUUAUCGGGGAAGGAUUAGCCCGCGUUGGAUUAGGUAGUUGGUGGGGUAAUGGCCUACCAAGCCGACGAUCCAUAGCUGGUUUGAGAGGAUGAUCAGCCACACUGGGACUGAGACACGGCCCAGACUCCUACGGGAGGCAGCAGUGGGGAAUCUUAGACAAUGGGGGCAACCCUGAUCUAGCCAUGCCGCGUGAGUGAUGAAGGCCUUAGGGUUGUAAAGCUCUUUCAGCUGGGAAGAUAAUGACGGUACCAGCAGAAGAAGCCCCGGCUAACUCCGUG
rnacentral:rRNA from 1 species